rnacentral:rRNA from 1 species
UACAGAGGGGGCGAGCGUUGUUCGGAAUUACUGGGCGUAAAGGGCGCGUAGGCGGCCUUCUAAGUCGAACGUGAAAUCCCCGGGCUCAACCCGGGAACUGCGUCCGAUACUGGGAGGCUUGAAUCCGGGAGAGGGAUGUGGAAUUCCAGGUGUAGCGGUGAAAUGCGUAGAUAUCUGGAGGAACACCGGUGGCGAAGGCGGCAUCCUGGACCGGUAUUGACGCUCAUGCACGAAAGCGUGGGGAGCAAACAGG